rnacentral:rRNA from 1 species
UCUACUAGCUGUUCGUGGUCUUGUACUGUGAGUAGCGCAGCUAACGCACUAAGUAGACCGCCUGGGGAGUACGGUCGCAAAAUUAAAACUCAAAUGAAUUGACGGGGGCCCGCACAAGCGGUGGAGCAUGUGGUUUAAUUCGACGCAACGCGAAGAACCUUACCUACUCUUGACAUCUACAGAAGUUGGCAGAGAUGCCGAUGUGCCUUCGGGAACUGUAAGACAGGUGCUGCAUGGCUGUCGUCAGCUCGUGUUGUGAAAUGUUGGGUUAAGUCCCGCAACGAGCGCAACCCUUAUCCUUAGUUGCCAGCACGUAAUGGUGGGAACUCUAGGGAGACUGCCGGUGAUAAACCGGAGGAAGGUGGGGACGACGUCAAGUCAUCAUGGCCCUUACGAGUAGGGCUACACACGUGCUACAAUGGUACGUACAGAGGGAGGCAAGCUGGCGACAGUGAGCGGAUCUCUUAAAGCGUAUCGUAGUCCGGAUCGCAGUCUGCAACUCGACUGCGUGAAGUCGGAAUCGCUAGUAAUCGCAAAUCAGAAUGUUGCGGUGAAUACGUUCCCGGGCCUUGUACACACCGCCCGUCACACCAUGGGAGUGGGUUGCAAAAGAAGUAGGUAGCUUAACCUUCGGGAGGGCGCUUACCACUUUGUGAUUCAUGACUGGGGUGAAGUCGUAACAAGGUAACCGUA